rnacentral:siRNA from 1 species
AGCGGUGUAUUGUUGAGGACGUCA